ensembl:piRNA 21ur-14911 ncRNA
UGAACCUUAGGAACAUCAGUU